AGCGAACGCUGGCGGCAGGCUUAACACAUGCAAGUCGAGCGCCCCGCAAGGGGAGCGGCAGACGGGAGAGUAACACGUGGGAACAUACCUUUUGGUUCGGAACAACUGAGGGAAACUUCAGCUAAUACCGGAUAAGCCCUUACGGGGAAAGAUUUAUCGCCGAAAGAUUGGCCCGCGUCUGAUUAGCUAGUUGGUGAGGUAACGGCUCACCAAGGCGACGAUCAGUAGCUGGUCUGAGAGGAUGAUCAGCCUCACUGGGACUGAGACACGGCCCAGACUCCUACGGGAGGCAGCAGUGGGGAAUAUUGGACAAUGGGGGCAACCCUGAUCCAGCCAUGCCGCGUGAGUGAUGAAGGCCUUAGGGUUGUAAAGCUCUUUUGCCCGGGAAGAUAAUGACGGCACCGGGAGAAUAAGCCCCGGCUAACUUCGUG
rnacentral:rRNA from 1 species